rnacentral:rRNA from 1 species
GCAAGUCGAACGGAAAGGCCCUGCUUGCAGGGUACUCGAGUGGCGAACGGGUGAGUAACACGUGGGUGAUCUGCCCUGCACUUCGGGAUAAGCCUGGGAAACUGGGUCUAAUACCGGAUAGGAGCCAUUUUUAGUGUGAUGGUUGGAAAGUUUUUUCGGUGUAGGAUGAGCUCGCGGCCUAUCAGCUUGUUGGUGGGGUAAUGGCCUACCAAGGCGGCGACGGGUAGCCGAACUGAGAGGUUGAUC